rnacentral:rRNA from 1 species
GGAUUCCCCUAGUAACUGCGAGUGAAGCGGGAAAAGCUCAAAUUUAAAAUCUGGCGGUCUCUGGCCGUCCGAGUUGUAAUCUAGAGAAGUGUUACCCGCGCUGGACCGUGUACAAGUCCCCUGGAAUGGGGCGUCAUAGAGGGUGAGAAUCCCGUCUCUGACACGGACUACCAGGGCUUUGUGGUAUGCUCUCAAAGAGUCGAGUUGUUUGGGAAUGCAGCUCAAAAUGGGUGGUAAAUUCCAUCUAAAGCUAAAUAUUGGCGAGAGACCGAUAGCGAACAAGUACCGUGAGGGAAAGAUGAAAAGAACUUUGGAAAGAGAGUUAAACAGUACGUGAAAUUGCUGAAAGGGAAACGCUUGAAGUCAGUCGCGUUGGCCGGGAAUCAGCCUCGCUUUUGUGUGGUGUACUUUCUGGUUGACGGGUCAGCAUCAAUUUUGACUGCUGGAAAAAGGCUUGGGGAAUGUGGCAGCUCCGGCUGUGUUAUAGCCCCUUGUCACAUACAGCGGUUGGGAUUGAGGAACUCAGCACGCCGCAAGGCCGGGUUUCGACCACGUUCGUGCUUAGGAUGCUGGCAUAAUGGCUUUAAGCGACCCGUCUUGAAACACGGACCAAGGAGUCUAACAUGCCUGCGAGUGUUUGGGUGGAAAACCCGAGCGCGUAAUGAAAGUGAAAGUUGAGAUCCCUGUCGUGGGGAGCAUCGACGCCCGGACCAGAACUUUUGGGACGGAUCCGCGGUAGAGCAUGUAUGUUGGGACCCGAAAGAUGGUGAACUAUGCCUGAAUAGGGUGAAGCCAGAGGAAACUCUGGUGGAGGCUCGUAGCGAUUCUGACGUGCAAAUCGAUCGUCAAAUUUGGGUAUAGGGGCGAAAGACUAAUCGAACCAUCUAGUA